AUUGAACGCUGGCGGCAGGCCUAACACAUGCAAGUCGAACGAGUGGCGGACGGGUGAGUAAUGUCUGGGAAACUGCCUGAUGGAGGGGGAUAACUACUGGAAACGGUAGCUAAUACCGCAUACCAUCAGAUGUGCCCAGAUGGGAUUAGCUAGUUGGUGGGGUAACGGCUCACCAAGGCGACGAUCCCGAGCUGGUCUGAGAGGAUGACCAGCCACACUGGAACUGAGCCAGGGUCCAGACUCCUACGGGAGGCAGCGUUGGUGAAUCAUGCACAAUGGGCGCAAGCCUGAUGCAGCCAUGCCGCUUGUAUGAAGAAGGCCUUCGGGGUGUAAAGUACUUUCAGCGGGGAUGCGUUACCCGCAGAAGAAGCACCGGCUAACUCCGUGCCAGCAGCCGCGGUAAUUC
rnacentral:rRNA from 1 species